AUUGAACGCUGGCGGCAUGCUUUACACAUGCAAGUCGAACGGCAGCACAGGGAGCUUGCUCCUGGGUGGCGAGUGGCGAACGGGUGAGUAAUGUAUCGGAACGUGCCUGGUAGUGGGGGAUAACUACUCGAAAGAGUGGCUAAUACCGCAUGAGAUCUUUGGAUGAAAGCGGGGGACCUUCGGGCCUCGUGCUACUGGAGCGGCCGAUAUCAGAUUAGGUCGUUGGUGGGGUAAAGGCCUACCAAGCCUGCGAUCUGUAGCUGGUCUGAGAGGACGACCAGCCACACUGGGACUGAGACACGGCCCAGACUCCUACGGGAGGCAGCAGUGGGGAAUUUUGGACAAUGGGCGCAAGCCUGAUCCAGCAAUGCCGCGUGCAGGACGAAGGCCUUCGGGUUGUAAACUGCUUUUGUACAGAACGAAAAGUCUCUGGCUAAUAUCUAGAGAUCAUGACGGUACUGUAAGAAUAAGCACCGGCUAACUACGUG
rnacentral:rRNA from 1 species